AGCGAACGCUGGCGGCAGGCUUAACACAUGCAAGUCGAGCGGGCAUCUUCGGAUGUUAGCGGCAGACGGGUGAGUAACACGUGGGAACGUACCUUUCGGUUCGGAACAACUCUGGGAAACUGGAGCUAAUACCGGAUACGCCCUUAUGGGGAAAGGUUUACUGCCGAAGGAUCGGCCCGCGUCUGAUUAGCUAGUUGGUGGGGUAACGGCCUACCAAGGCGACGAUCAGUAGCUGGUCUGAGAGGAUGAUCAGCCACACUGGGACUGGGACACGGCCCAGACUCCUGCGGGAGGCAGCAGUGGGGAAUAUUGGACAAUGGGCGCAAGCCUGAUCCAGCCAUGCCGCGUGAGUGAUGAAGGCCUUAGGGUUGUAAAGCUCUUUUGUCCGUGACGAUAAUGACGGUACCGGAAGAAUAAGCCCCGGCUAACUUCGUG
rnacentral:rRNA from 1 species